CACUCAUUUACGCGCGCAAACUGUUUUGCGCAGCUUGCACUUUCAUGUUCUUUAUGUAAUUGACAAGUUAUAUUAUUCAUUUUGUAAUUAUUAGGUACAAAAUUAGUAUUUUGUUAUAUACGAGUCUUAGUCCUCUAUCUUAUAGAUAAUAUAUGUUCAUAUAGUAUCUAAACGUAGAUAUUUACAAAUAUUAUGGUUGAAGCGCGUUUCGGCGCGAACGGAUUUGAGUUGGAUUGCUGUGCGUUGAUCGGUUGACGUGUGAGGAUUAUUAGGUAGCUAAAAUAUGGCAAAUCAAGCAAGUGACGAUGAUGACGACUACGGCGAUGAUCCCAUCAAACUUUUCGAUAGUUGCGAAGAACCGGUUUAUUUCGGCAGCAAAGCAUACGAGAGAAGUACAACGACGAUCGACUUCGCAUCGAGAUCAGAAGAUGCCCCAACACGUCCUGAAUGUAGAAAUAUUGAAG